rnacentral:rRNA from 1 species
ACAGAGUUAUCCCAACUCCAACCCAUGUGAACUUAUCUCUUUGUUGCCUCGGCGCAAGCUACCCGGGACCUCGCGCCCCGGGGCGGCCCGCCGGCGGACAAACCAAAACUCUUGUUAUCUUAGUUGAUUAUCUGAGUGUCUUAUUUAAUAAGUCAAAACUUUCAACAACGGAUCUCUUGGUUCUGGCAUCGAUGAAGAACGCAGCGAAAUGCGAUAAGUAAUGUGAAUUGCAGAAUUCAGUGAAUCAUCGAAUCUUUGAACGCACAUUGCGCCCAUUAGUAUUCUAGUGGGCAUGCCUGUUCGAGCGUCAUUUCAACCCCUAAGCACAGCUUAUUGUUGGGAACCUACGGCUUCGUAGUUCCUCAAAGACAUUGGCGGAGUGGCAGUGGUCCUCUGAGCGUAGUAAUCUUUUAUCUCGCUUCUGUUAGGUGCUGCCCCCCCGGCCGUAAAACCCCCAAUUUUUUCUGGUUGACCUCGGAUCAGGUAGGAAUACCCGCUGAACUUAAGCAUAUCAAAGCCNGGAGGAAA